GCCCGUGUAGAGGGUGGGAAUCUGAAAUUCGGUCUCUGAGAGCUGCGGGCUGGUUGGACUUGCGCGAUUGUUGUCCCUUGCCGUUUUAUUAAGAGGCUGCUCUCCCGUUAUUGGCGAUUCUGCUUCUUCCGCUUUCCUCCAGUCUCUUGGUGGGGAUUUAGGUUCCGGCUCGUGGAAAAUAGUCGUGGCCUGGAUUUCAGGGCCCCUGGCACCUCGCACUGAGCUCUCCAGGAAUUAAAAAGCAUAAUGUUUUCCGUGGCAAUGCGAUGUCUUCUGUUCCUCACACAAAACUUCAUGAAAGACCCAAGCUGGUCUGGUCUUCAGUGUCUGCCCUGAGGGUAAUCAUCAUGAGGGGACCACAAGCAGGAUCACAGAAAAAGAAUAGAGAUGCAAAGUAGUCUGUCCUGAACCUAAACCAACAGGAGGGGGACAGGAGCUGUUUGGGAAGCCAGUGACAGACGUUCAGAAGCCUUCUGUGCAUAGGAAGAAGCAAAAAGCAGCUUAAUGAAUUAGAGAUGAUUAGAGGUGGUUGAUAAGGACCGAGUCCAAAGGGCCAGUACUUAAGUGGCUGAAUAGUGAGGUUAUAAGCAGUCAUUAUUAAGGUAAGCAAAGCCUCACUCUUGCUUGUGGUCGGACAUCUGAUUUUAAUUGUGGGAGAGGUAGAUAAACAUUGAUGCUAUGGUAGGAUAGAAGCUGGUAUGCCAUUUCUAAGUUCAUUGGAAGCUUAUAGCUUGCCAGUUUACACAGACAUACGCACAAGAGGGUGGAAAUAGAGCCUAGUUUCUGUAUUCUUUGUUUCUGUAUUCUACUGAUAAUUUUCUAGAGAGAUAAAUACAGCCUCAGAUGUAACCCUAGAUUUAAAAAGCAAAAAUACAAAAAAUGAAAAUGGACUACCGUUCAGUUCACAUGCCCUCACACCCACCCUCCAAUCCCAACCUCUGGGUCUCACUGGGGCCACAUUACUCAGUUGUUUAUUCCUAAAUCACACAAUCCCUUUCUCUACCACUUAUUUUCCCUAACUGCACUCCAACCCCUGCCAAAAACAAAAGACUAAAAAAUAACAUCAAAGAAGACCCCACAAAGGUUUUGUUUAACUUCCUUUUCACCCCACCUUCCACCAAAUGAAUUCCUUAAAAGUCACAUCGUGAUUAAUCAUGCUGGUUUUCAGUAGAAUUUUCUACUAAUGUAACACAAAUCAGAAUCAUAAAGAUGGAGGACUGAACAUCAUUCACAAUCCUUGUUUCUUCUUCAUGUUAUGCUAGAGUCCUAAAACACAAAAACUGAUUUUUGCCAAUGUGUCCUCACUACAUACUUAGCACUUCAGAGAGAAAAUUUACCUUAAUAAACUUAACUCAUUAUAUACAAGCCUCAGCUUACAAUUGAUGUUACUUUUCAAUAAUUUUUUUCCCUCAACUUCCAUCAAACUGAGUUUAAACUUACAUGCUUACUAAAUAGGGUGUGGAUGACUUUUUAUCUCUAUUUUCUAUUUAUUUGCCUUUUCUGUAUUCCCACUACCCAAAGAUAAACCUGCAAAAAGCUUCAAAAGGUGAUAUUGAUCACCUCCUUAAACUGAGGAAAUAACCAGGAAAUACACUCUGUGCCUCACUGACUUUGAACAGCCACCUGCAUAACCAACCAUCACUGAAUAAAGACUUAGGAUCCUUGCAGACAAUAGGUCACAUGUGGUUACAGGCAGCAUUUUCAAGAUCAAACCAGCUCUGAAUUGCCAUGGGCAAGCUAUUUAAAAUAAAUCCAUUGGGGAGAUUUCACCUGCUGAAUAGGGCUGUUCAUGUAGUUCUUUGUAAAAGUUAUCAAUGGGAAGUAACUAAACUUCUAUUACAAUAGCUAAAAUUAAAAACGACAACAACCUUUGCCAACAUAAUGCAUGCUUAUUCUCAUCUUGGCAUCUGUUUCUUGAGGGAAUAGAAGGGAAAUUUUAUGUAAAAUUUAUGUAUGUAAAUUAUAGCUCAAAAAAAAAAAUAAAAGCAUAAUGUCUGCCAUAUAGUGACGGCUCCAUGAAAUGCUAUUUUUGAUAGCUCUCAAAAGCCAGAACUGUUACUCCUAUGCAAAAAUGACAGUGAAUAUGAUUUACUUUGCGAGCGUUAGUUAAAUAGAUGUUUAAGAAUUUCAUUACUAUAUUUGAAGUAACUUUAAUUCUUUGACCAAAAUAAGGAAUUUAAGGAUUUCCAAUAAGGAUUCGGUACAUUGGUGAAUUUAAUGAAGCUUUAAUAGUUUAAAAUAAAUGAUUUAAAUAAAAAUUAAUUCAAAAAUAUUUAAGAACUAUUUUUCCCCAUGAAUUAGUUAGAAAAUUGUUCAAUUAUCCAGAAUCUCUAACUUGAAUGUUUUCUUCUUUUCAAAUUGCCAAAGUAAUACUUUUGGGUUGUAAUAAGUAAAACAACAUAAUGCAGUUCAAAAGUGGGCAAAGGUAACAUUCACCUGCCCCAGCAGCCCAAAUUCUUAAUUAACCCACCCCAUCCCAAGGUCAUCCCCUGGAGAUUUGAUUCCGUAUCUUUCCAAACCCUUAUUCUUGCUCAGGCAAACACAUAGCCAUAGAUAUAUCUGUAUAGAGAUGCUAUUUAUUUCCUUUAUCCUGAAAUAGAAUCAGAAAGUACGCAUUACUUAAUUGUUACUUUUUUCUGUUUAAUACGUUAUGGACAUCUUCAUAAGAGAUCCAUCUUGCUCUUCUAAUUUCUGUAAGCAUGCAUAUACACCUAUAAUUUCACACACAUCAUAUCAUAUUAUGGUUCUUCAUUAGUAGUCUCUUCCCGACUUUAAUUUUCUGCUUACCUUACUUCCCCACCUUCUCUAUCCUUUGCUCUCAUUGUCCCUUUCACUCCUCAUAUUUUGUAUCCUUUUGUAAUUUAAUGUACGUACUCAUUCCAUACACUUUUUUGUCGUUGUUUACAAAAGUGGAAUAUUAAAUACUCUUCCAUUCACGUCAUUUUCCUCCUUCAACACAUUUUGGAAUACCCCCAAGUCGCCCAUCAGUUCACAGAACUUAAUUAUUCUUUAAUAAUAAUUGCUAAUGUUUUAUAAUAGUCCAUGCAUAAUUUGUUUAAGUGUUUUCCAUGUGUUGGCAUUCAUCUGGCUUGCAUUUUAUUUUGUGCCACCUUAACCAGUGCUGCAAUAAUUUGUUUUUUUUUUUGUAUUUUCCGUUAUAUAUUCUGAUACUCAUACCCAUGGAAUCGAUUCCCAAAAAUUAGACUAUGGGGCUGAAGUGUAUGCAAAGGUUUAAUUUUAAUAGAUAUUUUCAGUUCUUUUCCCAAAAGAUGGUAACCAUUUAUAUUGCCACCAUAUCUGUGUCAUCAAUAGAUAUUAUUACUCAUUUUCUAUUUUUAUAGUUAUAUAAGAGUUGUUGAGAACUGUUAUGGGACAAUUUCUGAUUCUUUGAUAACUCUGAGUAGCCUUAAACCAGAGAGGAGAGAGUGAACUAUGACUGCCUUACUCCAUCCUCAGGGUGACCUGUUACAAUGAAAACAUCAUGAACUGAAUUUGCCACAUGCGCACUGAUUAGCAGUCACCAGAACAGUGCAGCUAUUCCUGUAGACAAUCUAAAAUUUCUACUCUCUGUCCUUACCACACUCUGAGAGCACCUUUCUUUAAAGGUCUAUCGCAAGGGAAAUGUGAGAAAAAUUUCGGCAACAAGAUCGCUUCUUCGUCAAUCAGCAAAGAUGACAAAAUCCUCCCUUAAGUGGUUGUGAUGUUAGGGUGGGGCUGUGGUGGCAGAAGGAGUUACUACGGUCCUAAGGCUUUGUUUGCUGCAGAAGUGUUAGUAUGUUGAGCUCACCCGAUUCUCAUACCCUAUUUGUGACAGGGUAGAGGGGCCCACACUAAUUUCCUUGGUGAUCUCACAUCUUGAUCACCUGUCAUUUCACCAGUGAAAACUCCUUUCUAAUCAGCAAAUGCAAUAGUUGAGAUUUAGUCUGCAUUUUUUAAAUGUUUAUUUUUGAGAGAGAGAGCAUGAGUGCGCAUAAGCGCAUGAGCAGUGGGGGGUUGGGGGCAGAGAGAGAAGGAGGCAGGAUUUGAAGCAGCCUGUGUGCUGACAGCAGAGAGUCCAAUGCGGGGCUCGAACUCACCAACCGUGAGAUCAUGACCUGAGCCAAAAUAGAAGCUUAACUGACUUCAAUUGAAAGUAUUCUGUGUAUUGUUUUCUGGAGAGUGGAUACCUGAUAGGGUCUCUCAAAAGCUAACCAACCCACCCUGAAGUGUGAAGUCAGGGUUAGGAAACUGCAAAUGUUAACCAACUUUUCCAGGUUGUAGAUUGCAGAUGGCUUAUACACAUACAUUAUAUUAUCCAAAAUGGAAUAUUUUAAAAUAGAUAUGGUACAGCAGGUGAAAGGCAGCAGCUUGGCGUGGCUGCUUUUCCAAUAGCAAGUGACAAGAAAAAAGAAAACUAAUUUCUCCAUUUUACUGAAUAUGCUCCAAAAAUUUUAAGGCAUCGGAGUGGGACCUCCAGUAGCCAAGACCAGAGGAGGAGAGGAGGAAGAAAAAGACAGCACUCAGAAUAUGGCAGCUGAGUGGAUAUGUUUGUAAGCUCAUGGGUAUGGCGUUAAUGCUUAGAGAAAGAGGCCUUAUGGAAAUUGUUUGCAGGUGGGGAGCAAAUGUGGACAAACUGGGCCUGCUUCAUAACGUUUGACAUAUGUGUCUUCACAACUCUUCCUAAUGGUCAAAGCAGCUCAUUUAGGGUUCAAAAUGCCCAAGGCUGCACUAUAAGUGGUAACAAACAGAUUGGAACAAAUCCUUUUUGCACAGAACACACUCAUAUUUCAAGGGAAAUCCUAAAAACACAGUAACAAAGCUACAAACUGUUCCAUCAUUUUCCAAGGUAUGGGGAAAUGUUUCAAAGACACAUGAUUAUAGUUAUUGAACUUAAGUUGUAGGUCUAAUAUGAUAAGCAUUGAGGAUAUGAAGGGACGAAAUGCUUUCCCAGCGAUAAUGGAAUAACUUUGAGUAAUAGCCAUUUGGUUGCCUUUGUUUUUGACACAGUGGUGGGAGCACGUUAUGGUCACUGCUGUUUGAUAAAUGACCUUCCCAUCAUUCUCAUUUUGUGGGUUUAGGCCAGACACCCAUAUUGUGACUUGGUUGGUGUGGAGGUUGGUGUUUCACUGUAUUUUUAGAAUAUUUAGUCUAUUUAGAAAGUUUACAUAAUUUUGGUUACAGUGACUAAAGUGACUAGGACUAAAAUAAGAUUGGCUUCUACAAAAACAAACUCUUCUAGCAUUCGAAGGUGGCAUUCAUUGUGUGCAGAAGUGAGAGGGGUAUGGUCAAAUACUUCAUAUCUCGUUGAUAUUUCCUGGGUAGUUUAUACCAUACUUGAAAUCUACUGAAUCAAGAAUUCUUUGUCGACUGAUGUUUAAACAUGUAUUCUAAUAUGUAUAGCAUAUAAACUUAUAAAAUGGAUUUUCAUAGCUAUUAUACACACAUACAUGCACACACAUAUGUAUGUGUAUGAUUUGUAAGC